rnacentral:rRNA from 1 species
CGCACGAAAGGCGUAACGAUCUGGGCGCUGUCUCAACAAGAGACUCGGUGAAAUCAUAGUACCUGUGAAGAUGCAGGGUACCCGCGACAGGACGGAAAGACCCCGUGGAGCUUUACUGUAGCUUGAUAUUGAGCACUGGUGACACAUGUACAGGAUAGGUAGGAGACGAAGAGACCAGGACGCCAGUCGUGGAGGAGUCGCUGUUGGGAUACUACCCUUGUGUUACUGGGGUUCUAACCCGUGGCCAUGAGCUGGUCAGGGGACAGUGUCAGGUGGGCAGUUUGACUGGGGCGGUCGCCUCCCAAAGAGGAACGGAGGCGCCCAAAGGUUCCCUCAGAAUGGUUGGAAAUCAUUCGAAGAGUGUAAAGGCAGAAGGGAGCUUGACUGCGAGACCUACAAGUCGAGCAGGGACGAAAGUCGGGCUUAGUGAGCCGGCGGUACCGAAUGGAAGGGCCGUCGCUCAACGGAUAAAAGCUACCCCGGGGAUAACAGGCUGAUCUCCCCCAAG